CUUUGCUCUUUCACUCCCCAAUUUUAUUCAAUUAUUUUUCCUAAGGUUCUCUUUUUUAUAGUUAUAUAUGCUUGUAAGUCUGUUUUAAAUCAUGGUGUUUUACUCUUGACUGUUAUAGAUAGAAGAGCUUAGUAUUCCACCCACAUUCUUUCCCUUUUACCUCCCAUUUUUAAAAAGAAGUUCAGUCCUUUUUUUAUCAUCAGGCAAUAUACAACUUACAUUAUGAUCCUUCACCAUAAACUAUAAUUUGUGUAAUCAUUUUAAUUGUACAGUUAAAUAUAUUCAAAGGUCACUACCAGUCUUUUUCUGUAGUUUCCUCCAUUAUAUCUUGAUUGAUUGAAGUUUCUCCUCUAGUAGUUUCCCUGAGAAGUAUCCUUAACAACGAUUUUCCAUGAAUUCUUGUACAUUUAAAACAUCUGAAAUCUUUAUUCUUUAAGGACAGUUUGACUGAAUAUGGAAUCCUUGAUGUACCCUUUCUUUGUGGAGUAUUUUGCAGGCAUUACUCUACUGUUUCUGGUAUUUGUAAUUGCUGUGAAGAUUUCUGAAGCCAACAUAAUUUCCUUCCUUUGAUGCUGCUAACGACGUUCUCAAUUAGGACUGAAGAAGCGUGUCUAACACUCUGGAAAACACAUCUCCCAACCCCCAAAGUGCCUGAGUUUAUGUAAAACAGAGAAAUUUUCUUCACUGUCAGGUUUCCUGCCUCUCACUUCACUCCCACAGCUGUGUGUUUGAAUAUUCAGAGGCAAGGUUGGAGCGAGGAGGAGAACUAUAACAAAAGCAAAAUCACUUGGAAUUUUUAUAACUGGAAUCCUUUGUUAAUCUGCUCUAUUAUGCUACUUGAUAUUCACCAAUGAUAACAUCUUGGAAGAUUUC